UUCCGGUUGAUCCUGCCGGAGGCCAUUGCUAUCGGAGUCCGAUUUAGCCAUGCUAGUCGCACGGGUUUAGACCCGUGGCGGAAAGCUCAGUAACACGUGGUCGAACUGCCCUAUGAAUCGGGAUAACCUCGGGAAACUGAGGCUAAUCCCGAAUACUGCUCCCAGGCUUGAAUGCGGGGAGCUGGAAACGCUCCGGCGCCAUAGGAUGUGACUGCGGCCGAUUAGGUAGACGGUGGGGUAACGGCCCACCGUGCCGAUAAUCGGUACGGGUUGUGAGAGCAAGAGCCCGGAGACGGUAUCUGAGACAAGAUACCGGGCCCUACGGGGCGCAGCAGGCGCGAAACCUUUACACUGCACGACAGUGCGAUAGGGGGACUCCGAGUGCGAGGGCAUAUAGUCCUCGCUUUUCUGCACCGUAAGGUGGUACAGGAACAAGUGCUGGGCAAGACCGGUGCCAGCCGCCGCGGUAAUACCGGCAGCACGAGUGAUGGCCGCUCUUAUUGGGCCUAAAGCGUCCGUAGCCGGCCAGUCAAGUCCGUUGGGAAAUCGGCGCGCCUAACGCGUCGGCGUCCAGCGGAAACUGACUGGCUUGGGGCCGGAAGACCCGAGGGGUACGUCUGGGGUAGGAGUGAAAUCCCGUAAUCCUGGACGGACCACCGAUGGCGAAAGCACCUCGGAAGGACGGAUCCGACAGUGAGGGACGAAAGCUAGGGUCUCGAACCGGAUUAGAUACCCGGGUAGUCCUAGCUGUAAACGAUGCUCGCUAGGUGUGGCACAGGCUACGAGCCUGUGCUGUGCCAUAGGGAAGCCGUGAAGCGAGCCGCCUGGGAAGUACGUCCGCAAGGAUGAAACUUAAAGGAAUUGGCGGGGGAGCACUACAACCGGAGGAGCCUGCGGUUUAAUUGGA
rnacentral:rRNA from 1 species